rnacentral:tRNA from 1 species
GCCUGGGUGGCUCAGUGGUUGAGUGCCUGCCUUCGGCUCAGGUCGUGGUCCCGGGGUCCAGGGAUCAAGUCCCUCACUGGGCU